GCUUUGUAUUCCUUACCAGGAUAAUUCACUACUUCAAACUUUAUAUUUAAUUGAUCAAUUUUGAGCGUCUGUAUCAAUGUCAGCUCCAUGUGUGUCCACAGCUCUCUGUAAAGCUAUGGUGGCUGUUUUGGUCCAAGCACAGAGCCUUUCAGACUGGGAAAUCUCAGAUCCCAGCCCAACCUGAAAGAUGGGUCAGAGUGCACUUCCUGUUCCAGUCAAAGGAUUACAAGUCUAAACUUCUACAAACAAGUUUUCCAUGAGUUUCUUCAGAAGGAGCAGCACACAGACUUCAUUUAUAGAUGACACUCAAACGUUGAAAACUGCACCAGAAGACUGGCAGAUAUUUGAGACCAUCGAUCAGGAGGGAGGGGAGUUAGCCUUUUAACUGCCAGGUGAUGUCUUUGUGAAGACUCCCAACGUUCAGUAAAACCUUUUUCCUCUGAA